rnacentral:rRNA from 1 species
AUUGAACGCUGGCGGCAGGCUUAACACAUGCAAGUCGAGCGGGGUGAUGGUGCUUGCACUAUCACUUAGCGGCGGACGGGUGAGUAAUGCUUAGGAAUCUGCCUAUUAGUGGGGGACAACAUCUCGAAAGGGAUGCUAAUACCGCAUACGUCCUACGGGAGAAGGCAGGGGAUCACUUGUGACCUUGCGCUAAUAGAUGAGCCUAAGUCGGAUUAGCUAGUUGGUGGGGUAAAGGCCUACCAAGGCGACGAUCUGUAGCGGGUCUGAGAGGAUGAUCCGCCACACUGGGACUGAGACACGGCCCAGACUCCUACGGGAGGCAGCAGUGGGGAAUAUUGGACAAUGGGGGGAACCCUGAUCCAGCCAUGCCGCGUGUGUGAAGAAGGCCUUAUGGUUGUAAAGCACUUUAAGCGAGGAGGAGGCUCUUUUGGUUAAUACCCAAGAUGAGUGGACGUUACUCGCAGAGUAAGCACCGGCUAACUCUGUGCCAGCAGCCGCCGCGG